UCACAUGGGAAAAGGCAACAGGAAAAAAAAUACACAAAAGAAGAAAACCAAAACAAAAUACAAAGAGCCUGGAGAAUGGUAGCAGAUCUAGAACUUCAACCUACUUCACAGUAGCCGGACUGCUUCAUUGAUUGAUGCUAAAAACUCUACUAAGGAAUUCUUCUGUUGCUGUUGUCAACCCAACUUUUUUUUGAAGAACAAUAUAUGGCAAUUACAGAUACAACAACCUUGUUAGAUGCAUACAAUAUUUUAAUGUAAUUACCUCUCACUGCUUCCAGUGAGGAAUUUUAUCCAGCUAUUUCCUAACAAAUAAAGUUUCCAUUUAGUUUUUUA